rnacentral:lncRNA from 10 species
GGCAUGCGUCACCACGCCGGCUAAUUUUGUACUUUUAGUAGAGAUGGUGUUUCCCCACGUUGGUCAGUCUGGUCUCAAAUUCCUGACCUCAGGCGGGUGGAUCACGAGGUAGGAGUUAAAGACCAGCCUGGCCAACAUGGCAAAACCCUACUAAAGAUACAAAAAAAAAAAAAAAUUAGCCAGGCGUGGUGGUGGGUGCCUGUAAUCCCAGGUACUUGGAAGGCUGAGGCAGGAGAAUCUCUUGAACCCAGAAGGCGAAGGUUGCAGUGAACCGAGAUCAUGCCAUUGUACUCUAGCCUGGGUGACAAGAGCAAGACUCCGUCUCAAAAAAAAAAAAAAAAAAAAAAAGAAGUAGAGACAGGGAGACAGGGUCUCACUGUGUUGCCUAGGCCGGUCUUGAACUCCUGGGCUCAAGUGAUUCUCCCACCUUGACCUCCUAAAUUGUUGGGAUUACAGGUGUGAGACAGUGCACCUGGCCGAAAUAGCUCAAGUUUCUGAAAAACAAAUCUGAAUCUAUUUGUUAUUCUUAGCGUCACUGGUCUGGCUUUCAGAAUUAACAUACAAGGUUGCCACACCUAGUUCUGCCCAGCUUUAUGUCUUUUAUUCCAGUAUUCCACCAAAGUUUGUUUUCCUGCAUUCCAGUUCUCAAGUCUUAAGAUAAAGAUUGUACUUGACAGUUUAGUAUAUCCAUAAAACUAUUUGAGGUGGUUAAGGUUCUUGGGUUCAUUUUCCUUAAUACUUUGCUGAAUAUUGUAGAUUGUAGGCAAUGAAAAAGUCUACUAAAUUAGGAAAACCUUGAAUAAUUAGGUAUCCUAGGUAAGAGCCCCUAAACAUCAAGCAAUCUGUGAGUCUGUAAAGAAAUAAAUAUUUUUUGGAUUAUUCUUAUCUAAUUCCACCCCUGUUGGAAGAUGAUUUCUUUGUUCUUUGCAACUAUGGAAGCUGUGAAAAUCAUCACAAGUGCCUCUGAAAGCGAGUGUUAGGUUGGUUAGAGGGUUUAAUAUUUUCUGCAAUGGUUUGUAGGAAUUUUAAUAAAUGUAGUAUAUUUUCUGAGAUGAUUUUGUAAAAGUACUAUUUUAAAUAUCAAAUCAACCAAUAAAUUCACAUUUGUGUUAGGAACAG